AUCCAACCGACGGGUCCGAAAUAGGACGAAAUGCACAUCCUGGAU
rnacentral:hammerhead_ribozyme from 1 species